UUGGUCAAUGGACGCAAGUCUGAACCAGCCAUGCCGCGUGAAGGAUGAAGGUCCUCUGGAUUGUAAACUUCUUUUAUCUGGGACGAAAACGGGAUUUUUAUCUCAAUUGACGGUACCAGAGGAAUAAGCACCGGCUAACUCCGUGCCAGCGGCCGCGGUAAUACGGAGGGUGCGAGCGUUAUCCGGAUUUACUGGGUUUAAAGGGUGCGUAGGUGGGCUUAUAAGUCAGUGGUGAAAUCUCCGAGCUUAACUUGGAAACUGCCGUUGAUACUAUAGGUCUUGAAUUAUCUGGAGNUAAGCGGAAUAUGUCAUGUAGCGGUGAAAUGCUUAGAUAUGACAUAGAACACCAAUUGCGAAGGCAGCUUACUACAUAUAAAUUGACGCUGAGGCACGAAAGCGUGGGGAUCAAACA
rnacentral:rRNA from 1 species